GACGAACGCUGGCGGCGUGCUUAACACAUGCAAGUCGAACGGAAAGGCCCUGCUUUUGUGGGGUGCUCGAGUGGCGAACGGGUGAGUAACACGUGAGUAACCUGCCCUUGACUUUGGGAUAACUUCAGGAAACUGGGGCUAAUCCCGGAUAGGAGCUCCUGCUGCAUGGUGGGGGUUGGAAAGUUUCGGCGGUUGGGGAUGGACUCGCGGCUUAUCAGCUUGUUGGUGGGGUAGUGGCUUACCCAGGCUUUGACGGGUAGCCGGCCUGAGAGGGUGACCGGCGACAAUGGGACUGAGAUACGGCCCAGACGCGUACGGGAGGCAGCAGUGGGGAAUAUUGCACAAUGGGCGGAAGCCUGAUGCAGCAACGCCGCGUGCGGGAUGACGGCCUUCGGGUUGUAAACCGCUUUCGCCUGUGACGAAGCGUGAGUGACGGUAAUGGGUAAAGAAGCACCGGCUAACUACGUG
rnacentral:rRNA from 1 species